rnacentral:tRNA from 1 species
UCUAAGUGUUUUCAAAACACUAAGUGGUAUUUAUUGCCGCCUGACGUGUA